UCUUUUUUUUUUGUCCGCAGGAAUUACAAAUGGCAGCUGUAGUGGUGAAAGUUGAGACAUCGGUAGUCCAGCGAGAAGAAUUACAUACAGUUGACAGUGAAAAGGCUAACAGAAAGUUACAACAGGAAAGCAGUUAGGCAAACAAUUAAAUAGUUACAAAUUUGUGGAAAAGAAAACACGAACCCCAAGAAAAAUGAAAGAACGGGACAAGGAAAUG